GACGAACCGUGCGAACGUUAUUCGGAAUCACUGGGCUUAAAGGGCGCGUAGGCGGGUUGUCAAGUCCGGGGUGAAAGCCCCCAGCUCAACUGGGGAAGUGCCUUGGAUACUGGGAACCUCGAGGGAGGUAGGGGCGUGCGGAACUUCCGGUGGAGCGGUGAAAUGCGUAGAUAUCGGAAGGAACACCGGUGGCGAAAGCGGCGCGCUGGACCUCUUCUGACGCUGAGGCGCGAAAGCCAGGGGAGCAAACGGG
rnacentral:rRNA from 1 species